rnacentral:rRNA from 1 species
GGGGAAUUUUGGACAAUGGGCGCAAGCCUGAUCCAGCCAUGCCGCGUGAGUGAAGAAGGCCUUCGGGUUGUAAAGCUCUUUCGGCCGGGAAGAAAUCGUGUUCUCUAACAUAGGACAUGGAUGACGGUACCGGACUAAGAAGCACCGGCUAACUACGUGCCAGCAGCCGCGGUAAUACGUAGGGUGCGAGCGUUAAUCGGAAUUACUGGGCGUAAAGCGUGCGCAGGCGGUUUUGUAAGACAGAUGUGAAAUCCCCGGGCUUAACCUGGGAACUGCGUUUGUGACUGCAAGGCUGGAGUGCGGCAGAGGGGGAUGGAAUUCCGCGUGUAGCAGUGAAAUGCGUAGAUAUGCGGAGGAACACCGAUGGCGAAGGCAAUCCCCUGGGCCUGCACUGACGCUCAUGCACGAAAGCGUGGGGAGCAAACA